GACGUAGGGCGCGAGCGUUGUCCGGAUUUAUUGGGCGUAAAGGGCUCGUAGGCGGUUUGUCGCGUCGGGAGUGAAAACCAUGAGCUUAACUCAUGGCUUGCUUUCGAUACGGGCAGACUAGAGGCAUGCAGGGGAGAACGGAAUUCCUGGUGUAGCGGUGAAAUGCGCAGAUAUCAGGAGGAACACCGGUGGCGAAGGCGGUUCUCUGGGCAUGUCCUGACGCUGAGGAGCAAAAGUGUGGGGAGCGAACAGG
rnacentral:rRNA from 1 species